UACGUAGGUGGCAAGCGUUAUCCGGAUUUAUUGGGCGUAAAGGGAACGCAGGCGGUCUUUUAAGUCUGAUGUGAAAGCCUUCGGCUUAACCGGAGUAGUGCAUUGGAAACUGGGAGACUAGAGUGCAGAAGAGGAGAGUGGAACUCCAUGUGUAGCGGUGAAAUGCGUAGAUAUAUGGAAGAACACCAGUGGCGAAAGCGGCUCUCUGGUCUGUAACUGACGCUAAGGUUCGAAAGCGUGGGUAGCAAACAGG
rnacentral:rRNA from 1 species